rnacentral:rRNA from 1 species
GUGGGGAAUCUUCCACAAUGGACGAAAGUCUGAUGGAGCAACGCCGCGUGAGUGAAGAAGGGUUUCGGCUCGUAAAGCUCUGUUGUCGGGGACGAAUGUGCAGUAUUUGAAUAAAGUAUUGCAAUGACGGUACCUGACGAGGAAGCCACGGCUAACUACGUGCCAGCAGCCGCGGUAAUACGUAGGUGGCAAGCGUUGUCCGGAAUUAUUGGGCGUAAAGGGAGCGCAGGCGGGAAGGUAAGUCGGUCUUAAAAGUGCGGGGCUCAACCCCGUGAUGGGAUCGAAACUAUCUUUCUUGAGUGCAGGAGAGGAAAGUGGAAUUCCUAGUGUAGCGGUGAAAUGCGUAGAUAUUAGGAGGAACACCAGUGGCGAAGGCGACUUUCUGGACUGUAACUGACGCUGAGGCUCGAAAGCCAGGGGAGCGAACGGGAUUAGAUACCCGGGUAGUCC